rnacentral:lncRNA from 13 species
GAGCACAGAAAAACACGCUGGUUGACUUGACAAGACAAACUGGCAACAGAUAAACAGGGAACACCGGAAUCAAUACCCAGGGACUAAUGGGGGAAACAGGUGACACCUGGAGGUGGGUGGAGACAAUCACAAAGACAGGUGAAACAGAUCAGGGUGUGACAGUUAGAGGUAGCCUGAGUACCUUCCAGACCAUGUCAUCAAUUUAGUCUACCCUCUUCUCUUUGACCUUUUAUUUCUGUUAAACUCAGGUUAUCUGGAGUCCUUCCACAAUGCCCUGCUGACAAAUACCUCAAGACGGGGGCAUUUUGGGUACACAAGCAUGAGUCCGGGGACAUACCUUGAGGUUGUGCAGCACAAGAAGAUUGAGGGACACUGAAAUAUAUAAAUAUAUAAAAAGAAGCCUACAACAGAGACGCGCAGUACCAGAAAAUCUUCUGCAAGAGGACCAAACAGUUGGUGGUUAAGAAGCCCUACACCACUUUCAGCAGAGUCUUAUCUAGCUGGCCGUUCACUGCAGACAGGACCAUCGCCAUAAGCAAAAAGGGUCUCAGCUUCCCCAGCCCACCAUUGCCAGUGUACCAAAGCCAGAUAAAGGACUAUGGCUGCGUUUACACAGGCAACCCAAUUCAGAAUUGUUUUUUUCACUAAUUGGUCUUUUGACCAAUCAGAUCAGUUCUGAAAAAGAUCUGACAUGAUUAAGACCAAUUAGCGGAAAAAAUAUCAGAAUUGGUAUGCCUGUGUAAAUGCAUUCAGUAUGGCUGAGCAUUUCACAGCAUUUCCCAGACUCAAGGGGUGCAAGUUUUGGUUUUUGCCCUGGCACUACACAGAUGAUUCAAGUAAAUCCAAGCUUGAUGAUUAGUUGAUUAUUUGAAUCAGCUGUGUAGUGCUAGGACAACAAAACUAAAGGUGCACCCCUUGGGGUCCCCAGGACAGAGUUUGGGAAACUGUGGCCUACGACUAUGUAGAACAGGAGUCUCCAACCAUGUUCCUGGAGAGCCACCCUCCUAUAGGUUUUUGCUCCAACCCCAGUUGUAACUAACCUGGUUCAGUUUAUCAACCAGCUAAUUAUUAGAAUCAGGUGUGCUAGAUUAGGGUUGGAGUAAAAACCUAUAGGACAGUAGCUCUCCAGGAACAGGGUUGGAGUAAAAACCUAUAGGACAGUAGCUCUCCAGGAACAGGGUUGGAGUAAAAACCUAUAGGACAGUAGCUCUCCAGGAACAGGGUUGGAGUAAAAACCUAUAGGACAGUAGCUCUCCAGGAACAGGGUUGGAGUAAAAACCUAUAGGACAGUAGCUCUCCAGGAACAGGGUUGGAGUAAAAACCUAUAGGACAGUAGCUCUCCAGGAACAGGGUUGGAGUAAAAACCUAUAGGACAGUAGCUCUCCAGGAACAGGGUUGGAGUAAAAACCUAUAGGACAGUAGCUCUCCAGGAACAGGGUUGGAGUAAAAACCUAUAGGACAGUAGCUCUCCAGGAACAGGGUUGGAGAGCUCUGAUGUAGAACCACCAUAAAAUAAAUAUGGAUAUUUUAUAUCAAUCUUCAAAAUUGGUCAACCCUUAUUGAUUCACAGAAGAUAUUUAUAUAAGCUGUGCAUGGCUCUGUAGCAUCACACAGAUGCUAGACAUUCAGAUUGACAAAUAAACCAACAUUCUUUGGAUAUCUAGAAUACAGGAGUGUGCACUAUUUAAUACUAACUCAAGAGAACUGGGUAUUCAACAACAGUUUUAUAUAGUAAAAGUAACAUACAAUAUUUUUUUAUGAACAGUGUAGUACAAGUCAGUGUGUCCAAGUGUGUCUCAGGUGUAGAGACACAAGUGCAAAGAAUCGUAGCUACAGAUUGUUACACCAGAUAAUGUGAUUUACCCAAAGAUUUUUGCAGACAUCUUGUCUAUUUCACGUCUUCUUUCAUUGAUCUACACAGGUGGGUGUCCACCACAAAGUAUGUCAUAAUGACAGAGACCUGUCUCAGUCAAUGAGUGAGAAGAUUUUAAAUAGACACAAUGGCGGCCCACAUUUGUUGGAUUGCUUAAUGGAGCAAAAAUAUAUAUUUUCAUAACAGAGCAUUUUCUCAAUUCAAACGGACCCCUGCAACUGGACAGACAUUUUGGUUUCCCCAAAUUGAGGACGAAGAAGUCAUCGAUAAUGUUGGUCAAAACAACACUGUAGGCUACUUCGAAACAACACUUUAUAACUCAAGAAAAUCUGAAUGCGUAUCCCCAUGAAACUGAUUGUCACGUUCUGACCUUAGUUGUUUUAUUAUGUCUUUGUUUUAGUAUGGUCAGGGUGUGAGUUGGGUGGGUUGUCUAUGUUCCUUUUUCUAUGUUUUGGGAUUUCUGUGUUUGGCCUGGUAUGGUUCUCAAUCAGAGGCAGCUGUUUAUCGUUGUCCCUGAUUAAGAACCAUAUUUA